rnacentral:rRNA from 1 species
GUGCCAGCAGCCGCGGUAAUACGUAGGUGGCAAGCGUUGUCCGGAAUUAUUGGGCGUAAAGCGCGCGCAGGCGGUCUCUUAAGUCUGAUGUGAAAGCCCCCGGCUCAACCGGGGAGGGUCAUUGGAAACUGGGAGACUUGAGUGCAGAAGAGAAGAGUGGAAUUCCACGUGUAGCGGUGAAAUGCGUAGAGAUGUGGAGGAACACCAGUGGCGAAGGCGACUCUUUGGUCUGUAACUGACGCUGAGGCGCGAAAGCGUGGGGAGCAAACAGGAUUAGAUACCCUGGUAGUCC